GUUUGUGCGGGGUGGACCGAGGCGGAGGGUCGGUGCAUGUGGCGGACGAUGGGCGCCUGAAAUCAGGGCAUCGGAAUGCGGAACCGGUCUAAACUACGUCAGCCGUCUGGAAUCGUUCCUGCACAACAUGGUGCGAACUGCCUUUCCCACAAGUUCUAACGUCAAACAGACGCGAGCCAACCUCCCGGCAAACGUUCACAUCGUCGGACAAGCGGGAGGAGGAGGAAAAAGGAGUCUCAUUGCAUUAAUGACGCCUGAAGAAUGUCCUCGCGCAGAUGUUUUUCUACUCGACCUUUAGGACGACCUGGAGCUGCGCAACGGCCGCCCAUAUGUGCUGACUUUCCACUGCUGUGAUUUCAUACUGUAAUGAGCCACUAUAAGCUGCAGAUGUUGUGUCAAACUCGCCGAGGGGCACCAUGGCAACGGGAUGAACACACACAUACACGGUAACAAAAGCGUGAAACAAAAACAUGCACACAAACAACACGAAAAAUAUAUAUCCAUGCGCAUACACAUUCACACACACAAAAAUAACGCAAACAUACAUUACACGAAACACAACAACACACACUAGAGUAACAAAACAACAAAGCAUGCACGCACAGAAACAAUCACAAACCACACUCACACA